CAGUCCUUUUGUUAUGGUUGAAGUGUGGAUCUUCAGUGAAAACAAUAAUGCAUCCCUUAAGUGUUUUGCUAGUGGUACUCUGGCUUCAACUGAGGGUGGUAAGGAGCCAGCAGAAGGUGCAGCAGAACCCAGAAUCCCUCAGUGUCUCAGAUGGAGCCAUGGCCUCUCUCAACUGCACUUUCAGUGAUAGUGCUUCUCAGUACUUUUGGUGGUACAGACAGAAUCCUGGGAAAGAACCCGAGGCUCUGAUGUCCAUCAUCUCCAAUGGUGAAAAGAAAAAAGGCAGAUUCACAGUUCAGCUCAAUAAAUCCAGCCUGCUUGUUUCCCUGCACAUCAGAGACUCCCAGCCCAGUGACACAGCUGUCUACCUCUGUGCAGUGAGCACACAGUGCUCCCCAGUACACCUGCAGCCUGUACCCAAACCUACAGGGCCCCAGCAAAAGCUGAGCUAG